rnacentral:rRNA from 1 species
UACGAAGGGGCUAGCGUUGCUCGGAAUUACUGGGCGUAAAGCGCACGUAGGCGGGUCGUUAAGUCGGGGGUGAAAUCCUGGAGCUCAACUCCAGAACUGCCUUCGAAACUGACGAUCUUGAGUUCGGGAGAGGUGAGUGGAACUGCGAGUGUAGAGGUGAAAUUCGUAGAUAUUCGCAAGAACACCAGUGGCGAAGGCGGCUCACUGGCCCGAUACUGACGCUGAGGUGCGAAAGCGUGGGGAGCAAACAGG